GCCACCAGUAUUAGCUGAGACGCAUAAUGUGUUCCAUAUUUCUAUGCUACGAAAAUACGUGUCGGAUCCAUCACACGUGCUGAACUAUGAAAGAAUGGAGCUAAAGCAGGACUUGAGUUAUGAAGUGCGACCAGUUCGCAUUAUAGAGAGAGGAACGAAGGAGUUAAGGUCCAAAAGUAUUCCUCUAGUAAAAGUUCUGUGGAGCAACCGUUCAGAAAGGGAGGCAACGUGGGAAAUGGAGGGAGACAUGAAAGAACAGUACCCCGAACUUUUUGGUAAGUCUAAUUUCGAGGACGAAAUUUUCUUUAAGGAGGGUAGAAUGUAAUAUCCAGUUUAUAUACAUAUAUUGGUAUUUGGUAUAUUAAGUGUGAUACAAUUAAAUUAUUAUUAUUAUUAUUAUUAUUAUUAUUAUUAUUGUUGUUGUUGUUGUUGUUGUUGUGCGUGUGUGAUUAGAAAAAAAUGAUAUAUAUAUAUUAAAUAGUGAGAUAAAUAAAUAGUGAAGCAUUAGAUUAGUUAGUUAGUUUAAAAUUUAAAAUUUAAAUUUAAAUCAGCAUAAUUUUAUCUGAUUAGUUAGAUAUUUAUUUUUAAAUUUAAACCUAUUAUACGAUAUGUUAUAUACGUAUAUACUCUAUAACCCUAGCAGCCAGAUAGUAUCGUAUUCCCUUAUUCUCACCAUCUCUCAAUUUCCUUUUUUUUUUAUUCUCUCUAUUGAACCAAAUCAAUUGUUUUAAUCUUAAGAGCUUCGGGGUUAGCAAUCAACCGAUCAUCGUUCCGUGUCUUCGAAAUCUUCAGGGCCUAGAAGGUAUCGUAAGAGUUAAUUACAGCGGAGUUGAGAUAAGUAAGCCUGUAAGCUUUCGGUGACAAGUUGAGUCUGGGCAGCAUGGGGUGUAUCUCGUGUGAUCAUGUAACUGCGUGUGGUCUUGGCCAUCUUCCGCUGAAAGUUUUUUUUUAAAUUUAUUAAACUUAUCGAGGAUGUUGUCGUUUAAAUUUUCUAUUACUUUUCCCUAAGUGGUAAUACUUUAUUUUCAACUGGGU